GAUGAACGCUAGCGGCAGGCUUAAUACAUGCAAGUCGAGGGACAGCACAGGUAGCAAUACUGGGUGGUAACCGGCAAACGGGUGCGGAACACGUACACAACCUUCCUUUAAGUGGGGGAUAGCCCAGAGAAAUUUGGAUUAAUACCCCGUAAUAUAGUUGAAUGGCAUCAUUUGAUUAUUAUAGCUACGGCGCUUAAUGAUGGGUGUGCGGCUGAUUAGAUAGUUGGCGGGGUAACGGCCCACCAAGUCUACGAUCAGUAGCUGAUGUGAGAGCAUGAUCAGCCAAACGGGCACUGAGACACGGGCCCGACUCCUACGGGAGGCAGCAGUAAGGAAUAUUGGCCAAUGGACGCAAGUCUGAACCAGCCAUGCCGCGUGAAGGAUUAAGGUCCUCUGGAUUGUAAACUUCUUUUAUUUGGGACGAAAAAGGGCCUUUCUAGGUCAACUGACGGUACCAGAUGAAUAAGCACCGGCUAACUCCGUGCCAGCCGCCGCAGUAAGAC
rnacentral:rRNA from 1 species